GUCCAAACAAAAUUUCAGCUUCAUCUCACGAUUUCAUAUCAUAAUUUUAAACACAUCCUAUAUGAUACCAUCUGGGACAAUAAUUAACUAACUAUACAAUAGUGUACAAGUAGUUUUACUUUUAUUAAGAUCAAUAAACCAGUCCCAUGGAAGGGAGAUUGCAUCAGUAUUGACCUCAGAUAUUAUAGAAAGGUAUCAACUGCCUAGUUUGAAAGCAUCAACAAAGAGACCUAGAAUAACACCUGCUUUCCAGUAGUUCACCAUUGAAAUCAGAGACUGCAAUCUCCUGGAUGGAAGAGAAGGAGGUUUUUUAUACAUCAGCAUUCCGAUUCCCUCAAUUGCAGCGACAACGACACCUGCUACUAAUACAUCCCAAUCACCAGUCUGUCCUAGAAUUGUAGCCAAGGCAUUUGCCGUAUAAAAACCUAAGAGAAGCAGAAAUACUUUCAUAGGAAAAUUUUUCCGAGCUGAAUUAAGCUUCCCCAAGAACUGCCUGCCACCAGCACCAACUAUCCUCCCCAAACGAGUUCCACCUAGAUCACGACCAUCACCAUUGAGGCCAUCUUGAUCGUCACUACUGGGAAUGCUUCCUGUAUCCAGAGCAAAUGCUAUUCUUGAACCACGUCUUCUUGUCCAGGACCUAAUAGUAGGAGAUGUCAUACAGUUUACACCAAACUUUGAAAUUUGUUCAGUAACUUCUAGUCUGUUGGAGAAAUCCAGGAUAGAUGAACUUCUUGAAAUUACAAACAAUUGUCCAAAGCUUUCAUUCUCGGCUGCUGGCAAAGACUGCAACAUGAUUGCCUUCAUUCUAUAAGCCAUGAACUUAAGAAAUCCACUACAAUAACUGUUGCCUUUUACCAAUGCAUUUAGAGAGAGAUAAACUCUAUUUGCUUCAGCCCUUUUCUAGGAAAAGCUUGUGGUUUAUGAAUAUGGCGGAGAAUGAUUGCAGAGCCACACAGAAAGAG
rnacentral:misc_RNA from 1 species